UACAGAGGGGGCAAGCGUUGUUCGGAAUUACUGGGCGUAAAGGGCGCGUAGGCGGCCUGCUAAGUCGAACGUGAAUCCCCGGGCUCAACCCGGGAACUGCGUCCGAUACUGGCAGGCUUGAAUCCGGUAGGGGCCCACGGAACUCCUGGUGUAGCGGUGAAAUGCGCAGAUAUCAGGAAGAACACCGAGUGGCGGAAGGCAGUGGGCUCGGGCCGGUACUGACGCUGAGGAGCGAAAGCGUGGGGAGCGAACAGG
rnacentral:rRNA from 1 species